rnacentral:rRNA from 1 species
UCUAUGCACAAGCCGAUUAAUGGUGAAGCCGCGAAUGGCUCAUUACAACAGCCACUGUUUACUUGAUCUUGACUAUCCUACUUGGAUAACUGUGGUAAUUCUAGAGCUAAUACACGCAAUAAAGCUCCGACCUUACGGGACGAGCGCAUUUAUUAGACCAAAACCAAUCGGGCUUCGGCCUGAGCCGUUGGUGACUCUGAAUAACUGAGCUGAUCGCAUGGUCUUUGUACCGGCGACGCAUCUUUCAAGUGUCUGCCUUAUCAACUUUCGAUGGUAGUUUAUGUGCCUACCAUGGUUGUUACGGGUAACGGAGAAUAAGGGUUCGACUCCGGAGAGGGAGCCUGAGAAACGGCUACCACAUCCAAGGAAGGCAGCAGGCGCGCAAAUUACCCACUCUCGGCACGAGGAGGUAGUGACGAAAAAUAACGAGGCGGUUCUCUAUGAGGCCCGCUAUCGGAAUGGGUACAAUUUAAACCCUUUAACGAGGACCUAUGAGAGGGCAAGUCUGGUGCCAG